GUUAUGAAAUGCAAACGAGUGAGACGUGUACAUCACCAAAAGCACACGGGAGGUUUUAUGGAGGGCUUACCUGCUGCCAUUAUUUAGGAUAAAAUAUUUCUCCGAGAAUUGCAUCCGGGCACAAAUCUCAGCAAGACUUUCUGUAUUCAUGUAAUCCUUUCCAUAACCCUGUGAGGUAGGUUAGCAAGAAAAAGCCCAAAAGGAGUUUUCUUUUUCUUCUUUCUCAACCAGCCCUGCCCCGAGCCCUGGCUUCACCUGCAUUCCGCGGCUGCGACAAGGCGCCUUUUGUUAAAAUCUGGGGCAAACAGGAGGUGGCUCCCUGCCAAACCGCCUUUAAUCUAUCAGGCUCUCGGCUCUCAGGUGUUCAGGCUCUUGUUGCUUCACUUUUUAGGCCAGCGGUUGCUGUGAGAGGAGCCGAGUGUGUGAGCAUGAGGAGAUGACCAGUGCCACCCGCUGAGGCUGCACCCGCCCACCAGGCCCCCAGCCAGGCGCGGAGGUCCCCACAGCAGCCCCAGGUGUCUGGGUCGGGCCAUUUUGAGAGCCAUCUCCAAGUGUCUUAGGUUACCACAUCUGAUCCUAAAACAGAAGCACUGUAAGCUGACUUGAAUCCUUUUUGGAAUCGUAAGUGUCAACCAGGAAGUACGGGGCCAGAACCCAGGGGGAAGUGAUGGGGUAAAGGCAGGCAGGUGAAACCAGAAUAGGUGAGGCAGGCGGAGCCCUGAACCCGGGCUGCUGACUGGCCUCACAUACCUCUCCAGACACCGGCAACAGCCAGGCGCCUCACAGUUUUGGUGGCUGCAGGCGGGGGAGGAGCAGAAGGAGAAGGAAGUAACACAGUGUAACCACUGGGACAGCAAGUUUUUGCAAUCAUGUGAUCCACACCUUUGAGGAUGCCUAGGAACAUCUGGGGAACACGCUGCAGGGAGAAGCCAGGUGUGCUGGCAGUGGCUCCAAGCAUGGCCAGCUGAGCACUAGAAGUCAACACGCCUCGUUCUGUUCUCACCGAGAAUCCCGAGCUCCCUCUUCUUGACUUUCUCCGUGGACUCCUCAGGUCCACCUUCCUGAAGGGGAGGAGCCACAGAUGGAAGAUGAGGUGAGCAGCCAGGGGCCGAAGAGAAACACACUAAUCAGGGCCCGCCACGCGCCAGGAAUGUACCCUCAAGACGUCCUUCGAGGUGGGUCUGCGGAGCCCCAUGCUCCAGAUGAGCACAACGAGGCACAGAGAAGUCGUUUCCCUGGCCGAGGUCACACAGCUGGUGACAAAGCCAGGUUCUGAACUCAGGUCUGUCUCGUCCCUGUGUUACACGCUGUAGAGAAAUAAUUUAUUCCUUGGGGCCCAUUUAGUGGUAGGUGUUCGAUGAAUCCAACACAAGAUGCCAGGAGGUCACUACAUUUCUGUAAACUCUUACUACCAACAUGGUCUCCUCGAGCCUGCUGCCCAGAUGCUGGUGCCGCUGUGGAAGUGGUAACUCCCUCGGCCACGCGGAGGCCUCUACCAAUGAGACCAUGUGAGCUCCAGGCAAAACCUCACUCUCUCUGAAACAACUCCUUGCAUCCACUACCCCUGGCUCCAGCCAGCUGCACUCAAGCUAUUUACAAAGCUUGCAAAAACAACUGCACCAUCCCAGGCAAUAAAAUGACUGCAAAAGAUUAGUCUUUGCACUGGGCGUCAGCUAAGGGGUCAAAUCUACACCCUCAACUCAAGCCUGUCAAAUCAAUCUUACUCUGGACAUGUGUCUCAGGCCCCUGGGUCUAAGUCCAACACAGGGUGGGAGGAGGAACAUGCUCCAGGAGCCCUGGCCGCCCCUCACCCCAGCACCCGUUGCAGGAGUAGGCAGCCAGAUGGGGCCCAGCUAGGUUCGCGGGCAUUGCUGGCGGUCCUGGGAAGAUUAGCUGAGAUGCUAACCCAAGACUGAGCACUGGAGAGCAGAUUGCUGUACCCCAGCCCCUGUGCGGUCUCAGCAAAUGUCCGGAAUUGGAGGAGCGGAAAGCAUGCUCCGGGUGCUGGGGUGAAGGGGGCAGGACCAGUGAGAGACCAAAAGAGAAACUAGAGGCUGGCAGACUUAAUGACUGACUGUCUUUCUGUAAUCUUGUGAAUUCUGAAAAAAUGGUGAUAGGUAUUUUACAAGCCCCAGCACACCACUUGCCCAGAACUUCUUUUCCAGGUUGGCAGUGCCUGGGGAGUGCCACGGGGCCAGCGCUGAGGGAGGGAAGAAGCAGAGGAGCAGGAGGCCCUGCCCCGGCAGAAGCCCAUCCCUCCCAGCGGUGCUGCCCCUCUGCCCUGGAAACUCCUGAACCCCCGCAUCGGUUGGCACCAGUCUGCCCUUGCUUUGUGCCUUCUUGGAGGCCUCAGAGGCAGGUGUAGCCACGUAGGCACGUGUCAGCUCUUCCAGAGGAGGGGCCAGCCUUCCUGAUUUUGUAAUAAACAUCACUGACAGACCACAGCGAAGUACUCCUUCCAGAGUUCCUGAACUCCAGGCAUGUAUAUUCACUCACCUACUCAACUUCACUCAGAUGUCUAAUGGACAUCGCAGGGUUAACAUGCCCCAAACUGAACUCUCAAUCAUCCCCCUCCAACUUGGCCUGCCCUCAGUCUUCCCCAUCUUGGUCAACGCCAGAACCAUCUUCCCAUGUCCUCAGGCCAAAAACCUUGGAGUAAAAACCUACAUCCAGUCCAUGGGAAAUCCUGUGGACUCUAUCUUUGAGAUAUACCAGCACAGGGGAAUCCAAUCGUUUAUCACCUUCAAACACUAGCCACAGCCCUCUCUCUCCUGGCUUAUCACAAUAGAUUCCUAAAUGGUCUCCUCCCCUCUACCCUUCCUCCUCCUCAGGCUAUUCUCACCCAGAAGCCACUGUAGUUUUUUUUUGUGUGUGUUUUUUUUUAAAUAAGUCAGCUCAUAUCACACUCUGCUAAAAACAAAACAAAACCAACCCCCAACCCUCCAAAGCUUCCCAUCUCAAGUACAACGGCCCACCCCACGACAAAGCCCCACUCAGUCUGGUGAGCAUGGCCACACACACACUUUCUCUCCCUGAUCCCCUUUCCUACUCCCCUCCCUUUGCUCACCUGCCCCAUGCACCUGGCCUCUUGUUCUUCGUUGAAUACACCUGUUCCUACCCCAGGGCCUUUGCAUUUGCUGUUUCCUCUCUGGCAGGGCUCUUUCCUUCUUCCCACCAAUGUCAUUGUAUUUUUCUGUAAUAGUUUCAAAAUAUGUUCAAAUUCAUAGUUUUAAAAUAUAUCAAAUUCUUUGAUACUCCCCUCUCCCCCUCAAGAGGUGGAGCCUAAUGCCUUGCCUGAGUGACUCAGUUCCCGGGAAUAGAAUGUAGUAGCAGUGGUGGCGUGGGGCUUCAGGGACUACGUCACAAGAGGCUCUGCCGUGUCCACCUCAUUUGCUUUCUCUUGGUUCACUCACUCCAGGGGAAGCCAGCUGCCAUGUCCUGAGGACAUUCAGGCUGCUCUGUGGGCAGGUCCACAUGGCGAGAAACUGAGGCCUCUACCCACAGCCAAGGAGUGAGUCACCUUGGAGCCAGCAGUUGGGCAUGUAGAUGCGCCCUAGCCAACUGCUUGAUUCAGAGACCCCGGGCCAGAACCACCCAGCUUCUAGUACAUGCCCCAAACUGAACUCCGAAACCUCCUCCUCCAACUUGGCCUGCCCUCAGUCUUCCCUGUCUUGAUUCAUAGUCACAGAUUCUGACCCUCAGGAACCGAGAGAAUAAAUCAUAGUUGUUUUAAGCUUCUAAAUUCGGUGGUAAUUUGUUAUGCAAUAAUGGUUUAUCAAUAUGCUUGCUUCCUCAUUCCCUUCAAGUUUGGCUGCAAUGUCACCUUCUGGGAGCCGCCUUCCUUAACCACCCGCCCUAUUGCAGCUGAAAUCUCCCAGCUGCCCUCUGGGCUUUCUAAUACUCUGUGUAACUUACGUGUUUCUUUUAUUGCCUUUCUCCUUCUUAAAUUAUAGGUUCCACCUGGGCAAAGGAUUUUUUCUGUUUUGUUUAUUGGCACAUGGUCAGCACUCAAAUACUUGCUGAGUGAAUAAAUGAAUGCUUGCCUUGGCUUAA